rnacentral:rRNA from 1 species
AUUGAACGCUGGCGGCAGGCCUAAUACACGCAAGUCGAGGGGCAGCGCGGGGUAGCAAUACUCUGGCGGCGACCGGCAAACGGGUGCGGAACACGUACACAACCUUCCAAUAAGUGGGGAAUAGCCCAGAGAAAUUUGGAUUAAUACCCCGUAACAUAACGAUGUGGCAUCACAUUGUUAUUAUAGAUUUUUCGCUUAUUGAUGGGUGUGCGGCUGAUUAGAUAGUUGGCGGGGUAACGGCCCACCAAGUCUACGAUCAGUAGCUGAUGUGAGAGCAUGAUCAGCCACACGGGCACUGAGACACGGGCCCGACUCCUACGGGAGGCAGCAGUAAGGAAUAUUGGACAAUGGACGCAAGUCUGAUCCAGCCGUGCCGCGUGAAGGAUUAAGGUCCUCUGGAUUGUAAACUUCUUUUAUAAGGGACGAAAAAAGGCUUUUCUAAGUCGUCUGACGGUACCUUAUGAAUAAGCACCGGCUAACUCCGUGCCAGCAGCCGCAGUAACAC